rnacentral:tRNA from 1 species
GCACAGUUGGUAGAGCAUGGUGUUUGCAACGCCAGGGUUGUGGGUUCGAUUCCCAC